UAGAGUUUGAUCCUGGCUCAGAUUGAACGCUGGCGGCAUGCUUUACACAUGCAAGUCGAGCGGCAGCGCGGGGGCAACCCUGGCGGCGAGCGGCGAACGGGUGAGUAAUACAUCGGAACGUGUCCUGUAGUGGGGGAUAACCAAUCGAAAGAUUGGCUAAUACCGCAUACGAUCUACGGAUGAAAGCGGGGGACCGCAAGGCCUCGCGCUAUAGGAGCGGCCGAUGUCCGAUUAGCUAGUUGGCGGGGUAAAAGCCCACCAAGGCGACGAUCGGUAGCUGGUCUGAGAGGAUGAUCAGCCACACUGGAACUGAGACACGGUCCAGACUCCUACGGGAGGCAGCAGUGGGGAAUUUUGGACAAUGGGCGCAAGCCUGAUCCAGCCAUGCCGCGUGAGUGAAGAAGGCCUUCGGGUUGUAAAGCUCUUUCGGCGGGGACGAAACGGUUCGUGCCAACACCACGGACUAAUGACGGUACUCGCAGAAGAAGCACCGGCUAACUACGUGCCAGCAGCCCCGGUCAA
rnacentral:rRNA from 1 species